rnacentral:rRNA from 1 species
CCUAUGGGAGGCAGCAGUUUCGAAUCGUUCACAAUGGGGGCAACCCUGAUGGCGCGACGCCGCGUGGGGGAUGAAGGUCUUCGGAUUGUAAACUCCUGUCAUUGGGGACUAACGGCCAGGCUCAUACCCUGGUUUGAAUUAACCCCAAAGAGGAAGCAGUGGCUAACUCUGUGCCAGCAGCCGCGGUAAUACAGAGACUGCAAGCGUUACUCGGAUUCACUGGGCGUAAAGGGAGCGCAGGCGGAUUAGUGUGUCAGGCGUGAAAUCCCGGGGCUCAACCCCGGUACCGCGCCCGAAACUACUAAUCUAGAGACUUGGAGGGGUAAGCGGAAUUCUGGUGGAGCAGUGAAAUGCGUAGAUAUCAAGAGGAACACCAACGGCGAAGGCAGCUUACUGGACAAGAUCUGACGCUCAGGCUCGAAAGCGUGGGGAGCAAAAGGGAUUAGAUACCCCUGUAGUCCACGCUGUAAACGGUGCGCAUUAGGUCUUGGAGCUUUCGAACGCUCCAGGGCUCAAGCUAACGCAUUAAAUGCGCCGCCUGAGGACUACGGCCGCAAGGCUAAAACGUCAAAUGAAUUGACGG